CCUACGGGGGGCAGCAGUGGGGAAUAUUGGACAAUGGGCGAAAGCCUGAUCCAGCCAUGCCGCGUGUGUGAAGAAGGCCUUCGGGUUGUAAAGCACUUUCAGUGGGGAAGAAAGCCUUGGGGCUAAUACCCUCGAGGAAGGACAUCACCCACAGAAGAAGCACCGGCUAACUCCGUGCCAGCAGCCGCGGUAAUACGGAGGGUGCGAGCGUUAAUCGGAAUUACUGGGCGUAAAGCGCGCGUAGGCGGUCUGAUAAGCCGGUUGUGAAAGCCCCGGGCUCAACCUGGGAACGGCAUCCGGAACUGUCAGGCUAGAGUGCAGGAGAGGAAGGUAGAAUUCCCGGUGUAGCGGUGAAAUGCGUAGAGAUCGGGAGGAAUACCAGUGGCGAAGGCGGCCUUCUGGACUGACACUGACGCUGAGGUGCGAAAGCGUGGGUAGAAAACAGGAUUAGAUACCCUUGUAGUC
rnacentral:rRNA from 1 species